GGAGAGGUAGCGAAGAGGCUAAACGCGGCGGACUGUAAAUCCGCUCCUUCGGGUUCGGGGGUUCGAAUCCCUCUCUCUCCA
rnacentral:tRNA from 1 species